ACAGCAACCAUGACUUUGGUCUCCAUCUUCAUCUGGACGCUCACCCUCUGGACUCAAGGAUCCAGUGGUCAGGUGACUGUGACUCAGACUCCUGCAGUGAAAACUGUUUCUCCAGGAGACUCAGUGACCAUCAGCUGUAGAACCAGCAUUUCACCAUCUGAGUGUUCACCUGGUUGUAUCUCCUGGUAUCAGCAGAAACCUGGAGAAGCACCUAAACUCCUGAUCUAUGGUGCUAACAGGAGACAGUCAGGUGUUCCAGCUCGUUUCAGUGGCAGUGGAUCUGGAACUGACUUCACUCUGACCAUCAGUAAUGUCCAGACUGAAGAUGCAGGAGAUUAUUACUGUCAGAGUUAUCAUUGGAUCAGUAGUAGCUCUGUGUUCCCACAGUGUUUAGUAGGUGUACAAAAACCCCCCUCAGUCCAGCUGCACAGACACUGCACUGCUGCAGCUGGACUCUAAUGCAGGUGCUGAGGGGGAGGAUGGACCCACAGAAUAACACACUCUGUGGAAAUCAGGCCUUUAGAUGGAGUUUGUUCUUCUGUUCAUUAGACUGGAAAUGCUUUGUGGUUUUAGGGGUUUAUUUCCUGAUCUCCACAGGUCUGGAAC